rnacentral:rRNA from 1 species
GAUGAACGCUGACAGAAUGCUUAACACAUGCAAGUCAACUUGAACUUCGGUUUGGGUGGCGGACGGGUGAGUAACGCGUAAAGAACUUGCCUCACAGCUAGGGACAACAUUUGGAAACGAAUGCUAAUACCUGAUAUUAUGAUUAUAUGGCAUCGUAUAAUUAUGAAAGCUAUAUGCGCUGUGAGAGAGCUUUGCGUCCCAUUAGCUAGUUGGAGAGGUAACAGCUCACCAAGGCGAUGAUGGGUAGCCGGCCUGAGAGGGUGAUCGGCCACAAGGGGACUGAGACACGGCCCUUACUCCUACGGGAGGCAGCAGUGGGGAAUAUUGGACAAGGGACCGAGAGUCUGAUCCAGCAAUUCUGUGUGCACGAUGAAGUUUUUCGGAAUGUAAAGUGCUUUCAGUUGGGAAGAAAAAAAUGACGGUACCAACAGAAGAAGUGACGGCUAAAUACGUG